rnacentral:rRNA from 1 species
UACGUAGGGUGCAAGCGUUAAUCGGAAUUAUUGGGCGUAAAGGGCUCGUAGGCGGUUUGUCGCGUCGGGAGUGAAAACUCAGGGCUUAACCCUGAGCCUGCUUCCGAUACGGGCAGACUAGAGGUAUGCAGGGGAGAAUGGAAUUCCUGGUGUAGCGGUGAAAUGCGCAGAUAUCAGGAGGAACACCGGUGGCGAAGGCGGUUCUCUGGGCAUUACCUGACGCUGAGGAGCGAAAGUGUGGGGAGCGAACAGG